rnacentral:misc_RNA from 1 species
GAUGAAGAACGUAGCGAAAUGCGAUAAGUAAUGUGAAUUGCAGAAUUCAGUGAAUCAUCGAAUCUUUGAACGCACAUUGCGCCCGCCAGUAUUCUGGCGGGCAUGCCUGUUCGAGCGUCAUUACAACCCUCAGGCCCCCGGGCCUGGCGUUUGGGAUCGGCGGAAGCCCCCUGUGGGCACACGCCGUCCCUCAAAUACAGUGGCGGUCCCGCCGCAGCUUCCAUUGCGUAGUAGCUAACACCUCGCAACUGGAGAGCGGCGCGGCCAUGCCGUAAAACACCCAACUUCUGAAUGUUGACCUCGAAUCAGGUAGGAAUACCCGCUGAACUUAAGCAUAUCAAUAAGCGGAGGA